GAUUGGAUGGUGCUUGCACCUGAUUGAUUUUGGUCGCCAACGAGUGGCGGACGGGUGAGUAACACGUAGGUAACCUGCCCAGAAGCGGGGGACAACAUUUGGAAACAGAUGCUAAUACCGCAUAACAGCGUUGUUCGCAUGAACAACGCUUAAAAGAUGGCUUCUCGCUAUCACUUCUGGAUGGACCUGCGGUGCAUUAGCUUGUUGGUGGGGUAACGGCCUACCAAGGCGAUGAUGCAUAGCCGAGUUGAGAGACUGAUCGGCCACAAUGGGACUGAGACACGGCCCAUACUCCUACGGGAGGCAGCAGUAGGGAAUCUUCCACAAUGGGCGCAAGCCUGAUGGAGCAACACCGCGUGAGUGAAGAAGGGUUUCGGCUCGUAAAGCUCUGUUGUUAAAGAAGAACACGUAUGAGAGUAACUGUUCAUACGUUGACGGUAUUUAACCAGAAAGUCACGGCUAACUACGUGCCAGCAGCCGCGGUAAUACGUAGGUGGCAAGCGUUAUCCGGAUUUAUUGGGCGUAAAGAGAGUGCAGGCGGUUUUCUAAGUCUGAUGUGAAAGCCUUCGGCUUAACCGGA
rnacentral:rRNA from 2 species